CGUGUAGGCGGCUUUUUAAGUCAGACGUGAAAUCUCUGGGCUUAACCCAGAAAUUGCGUUUGAAACUGGAAGGCUUGAGGAUCGGAGAGGGUAGUGGAAUUCCCAGUGUAGCGGUGAAAUGCGUAGAUAUUGGGAGGAACACCAGUGGCGAAGGCGACUGCCUGGACGACACCUGACGCUGAGGCGCGAAAGCCAGGGGAGCAAACGGGAUUAGAUACCCCGGUAGUCCUGGCCGUAAACGAUGGGUACUAGGUGUGGGAGGUAUCGACCCCUUCCGUGCCGCAGUUAACACAAUAAGUACCCCGCCUGGGGAUACGGCCGCAAGGUUGAA
rnacentral:rRNA from 1 species